rnacentral:rRNA from 1 species
UGGGGAAUUUUGGACAAUGGGCGAAAGCCUGAUCCAGCAAUGCCGCGUGUGUGAAGAAGGCCUUCGGGUUGUAAAGCACUUUUGUCCGGAAAGAAAUCCUUGGCUCUAAUACAGUCGGGGGAUGACGGUACCGGAAGAAUAAGCACCGGCUAACUACGUGCCAGCAGCCGCGGUAAUACGUAGGGUGCAAGCGUUAAUCGGAAUUACUGGGCGUAAAGCGUGCGCAGGCGGUUUGCUAAGACCGAUGUGAAAUCCCCGGGCUCAACCUGGGAACUGCAUUGGUGACUGGCAGGCUAGAGUAUGGCAGAGGGGGGUAGAAUUCCACGUGUAGCAGUGAAAUGCGUAGAGAUGUGGAGGAAUACCGAUGGCGAAGGCAGCCCCCUGGGCCAAUACUGACGCUCAUGCACGAAAGCGUGGGGAGCAAACAGGAUUAGAUACCCUGGUAGUCCACGCCCUAAACGAUGUCAACUAGUUGUUGGGGAUUCAUUUCCUUAGUAACGUAGCUAACGCGUGAAGUUGACCGCCUGGGGAGUACGGUCGCAAGUUAAAAACUUAAAGGAAUUGACGGGGUCAUAGCUGUUUCCU